AGCCGAAGCGAAAGCGAGUCUUAAUAGGGCGGUAAGUUGAAUGCUGUAGACCCGAAACCCGGCGAGCUAGCCAUGAGCAGGUUGAAGUUUGAGUAAAAUCAAAUGGAGGACCGAACUAGGGCCUGUUGAAAAAGGCUUGGAUGACUUGUGGCUAGGGGUGAAAUUCCAAUCGAGCUGGGAUAUAGCUGGUUCUCCCCGAAAUAACUUUAGGGCUAGCGUUAAACAAGAGUUUUAUGAAGGUAGAGCACUGAAUAGUAGAUGGUCCCACCUCGGGAUACUGACAUUAAUCAAACUCCGAAUGUCAUAAAACGCGUUUAGCAGUCAGACUGCGAGUGAUAAGGUCCGUGGUCAAAAGGAAAAGAGUCCAGACCGCCAAAUAAGGUCCCAAAAUAUAUGCUAAGUGGAGAAGGAUGUAGAGAUGCCUAAACAACUAGGAUGUUGGCUUAGAAGCAGCCAUCAUUUAAAGAGUGCGUAAUAGCUCACUAGUCGAGUGACUCCGCGCCGAAAAUGUACCGGGGCUAAGCAUAUUACCGAAUUUGCGGAUUCGAUACGAAAGUAUUGAGUGGUAGGGGAGCGUUCCAUAUUGGGAAGAAGCAAGAUCGAGAGGACUUGUGGACUAUAUGGAAGUGAGAAUGCCGGUGUGAGUAACGAAAAGACAGGUGAGAAUCCUGUCCGUCAAAAACCCAAGGUUUCCAGGGGAAGGGUCGUCCGCCCUGGGUAAGUCUGGGCCUAAGGUGAGGCCGAGAGGCGUAGCUGAUGGAUAUCUGGUGUAUAUUCCAGAACUAGUAUAAUGACUGAUGGAGUGACGAAGAAGGCUAGGAUCCGAUUCUUAGUGGAUUGAAUACGAGAUAUCAAGAGGGGAUGUAGGCAAAUCCGCAUCUAGAAAUCAAGAUAUGACAGGUAAAGGAUAACGAAGUCAAGCUUCCAAGAAAAGCUUCUAGGGUUAAUCAUUAUACUACCAGUACCGUAAACCGACACAGGUGGGUAGGAAGAGAAUUCUAAGACGCGCGAGAAAACCCUUGUUAAGGAACUCUGCAAGUUGGCCCCGUAAGUUCGCAAUAAGGGGAGCUCAUGUAAAAGUGAGCCACAGAAAAGAAGCCCAAGCAACUGUUUAACAAAAACACAGGUUUAUGCAAAACCGUAAGGUGAAGUAUAUGAGCUGACACCUGCCCGGUGCUGGAAGGUUAAAAGGAGAGGUUAGAGCAAUCGAAGCCUUGAAUUGAAGCCCCAGUAAACGGCGGCCGUAACUAUAACGGUCCUAAGGUAGCGAAAUUCCUUGUCAGGUAAGUUCUGACCCGCACGAAAGGUGUAAUGUCUUUGGGCACUGUCUCAACAGGGGACUCGGUGAAAUCAAACUGCCGGUGAAAAUGCCGGCUACCCGCGAUUAGACGGAAAGACCCCAUGGAGCUUUACUGUAGGUUGAUAUUGAUAUUUGGUAUGUAAUGUACAGGAUAGGUGGGAGACUAUGAAGCUAGGACGUUAGUCUUGGUGGAGUCGACGUUGGGAUACCACCCUUUGCCUAUCGAGUAUCUAACUAGUGUAAGUGGAUUACAAAGGACAGUGUCAGUUGGGC
rnacentral:rRNA from 1 species